rnacentral:rRNA from 1 species
UACAGAGGUCUCGAGCGUUAGGCGGAAUCACUGGGCUUAAAGCGUGUGUAGGCGGAUCGUUAAGUGCCUUGUGAAAUCCCACGGCUUAACCGUGGAACUGCUUGGCAUACUGGCGGUCUUGAGCAACCUAGGGGCGAGCGGAACAAAUGGUGGAGCGGUGAAAGUGCGUAGAUAUCAUUUGGAACGCCAAUGGUGAAAACAGCUCGCUGGGGGUUUGCUGACGCUGAGACGACGAAAGCCAGGGGAGCAAACGGG